CGCGCCCGGGGUGGGAGAGGUCGCCAGGAUCCGGGACCCCCGCCCUGCCACGUAGCCACCUGCGCGCGCCCUCCCUCGGGGUGGGAGCUGGGGCCGCUUCCCGGGGAACCCCGAGUGGGGGCCAGGAGCCCGGCUUGGGAGGAGCAGAGUCCAGCCGGGGGUGGAGGGCUUUGGCAGAAAUGCGGAUAAAGGGGGUGCAGAACGGGACCCCUGAGGCCGGCUGGGGCCCGGUCACACGCAGGGCGGGGAAUCAGAGGGGUGCGUUGUGAAAUGAGAGGUGUCUUAGGGGAGCACUGGCUUUUCUGAUGCGUCUGUGUGUCCACAAGAGACCAUGGUUCCGCCUCCAUUUUGGAGACCGGGAGGCCGAGGUUCCUUUUGGCCUCAUCGGGCAGAUCCCAGAGGAGACUGGACUUUGGGGUCUAGUGACCAGGCCAGAAGGUGCUCUCAGGGGUGGGUGCGGGACAGUCCCAGGCCGCAAGGCUGUCAGAGGAAGGCGCCCCUUGGUGGAGAGGCCAACUCUGGGACCCACAGGGGUCUCUCCAGAGUCAGAGCCAUCAGUGGGUGAGAGGCUGGUCUGGAAGGUGGUGAGCUCCCCAUCACCAGGCCUGUGAGCAGGUGAACCCCUUGGGCCCUCAGCUCCUGGGGUUCUCCAUGACCCACCAUUUCCAUGGCCCUGGAUGAGGUGGGCCCAUCUGCCUCUGCGGAGACUUGGCACUGCCUCCAAGACCACUCAGUCCCCUCUCCUGUUGCCACUGAGGCUGGGGCACUGAGGUUCAAGCGGCUUUGGGGCUCAAGGAGCUCUAUUUCUCCCUGAUUUGACCCCACUCCCCCUCCUGGCCUCCAGACCCCUUCCUCCAGCCCUCCUUCCACUCUGCCACUCAAUGCUCCAACUGCAACAUGGGCCUCCCCUGCUCUAACGCCACCCAUGGCUCCCUUCUCCCAGGCCAAGGUCCAGCUUCUCAGCCUGGCAUCCAUGGCCCGGCCUGAGUGCUCCUGGCGUGCACCUCCCUCCCACCCUGACCCCAGCCCUGCGGGAGCACCUCAGAGCAUGGCCCGGCCCCUGACCCUCAUCUGGGGGUGCCCUCAGCAGGAGAUGGAGACAGCCCUGAGGGCAGACAAAUCCCAGCUUCUGCUCUACAUGGCUGCCUGCAGGGAAGUGCCUUCUCAAGCAUCGGUUCCCCCAUCUGUGAGUGACGUCACUGUUGCCCGCCUGUAGGGUUGCUGGGAACACAUGGGCAGGGCGCCCACCUACACGGGGCUGCUGGGCACCCAAGCACUCAGACGGCAGCCCUGCCCCUUCCCAGUCCGCCUGCCUGCCUUCGUCUCCUGAGUGACCCACCAGCGUGGGGCAGGGCGUCGGGCCGGCUCCCUGUCUCCUCCGGGCACCAGCUCAGGCCGGGGCAGGCUGACUCAUGCGUAGGAGAGUGGGCAGGGCGGUAACUCCACGCUGCGGCUGCUAUUUAUAGCUCCCAGGCCAGGCUGUGGGCCGCGUGAGCCGGCGAGGCCAGGCCCUGUUCCCCUCCUCGCUGUCCCUGAGGAACGGGGUCUCCACACAUGGCCCGCGGUGCCCAGGCCACAGAUGGCAGUGAGCUCUUCCGAGCACCCAAACUAGGACAGCAGGAGCUUCUCCCCCAUGGUGGGCCGGGGAGCAGAGGGUUCCGCCUGGCCUUUGUGAGUGGGGGUGGGUGGGCGCCCCAGCUCUGCCUCUCCAUGGAAAGGUCCGUGAUCCAAAUCUCAGGGGCCAGGGCACUUGCACACUGGGGCACUGAGCAAGCCGGGGCUGGCACUGGAGUUUCCUGGGUUCCCUGCUGCCUCUCAUACCCGAGUCCCUCUUUGGAGAGUCCCUCGGCAUCCUGAGAGGCACAGAGGUGGGCGAGGAGGACUGAGGCCGGCUGCAUCUUUGCCAAAGAGAAGAGGACCUGUCAACCUCUCCAGCUCGCGAGCUGGGCAGGAUCCACAGGCGUCCACGUUGAGUCCCCAGGGUGAAACCCACCGGGGCAGUCUGCAUGGGUCCUGCAAACACAAAGUGCCAGUGUAGUGGGUGCUGGGCCCUCAGCAGUCUGUACAAGGCCACUGUCCCUGCUCCCAUCUGGAAACUGCUGCUCAGAGAAGGGAAGCGGCUCGCCCACGGUGGCCUAGUGGGAAAGAGGUCGGUCCGGAUCCAUCAGGCUCUGAAGCCAUAGCCCAGCCUGCUGGGGAUAGACGGCCACCCCCUUGUGAUCCUCUUGCCCUGUCCCUGGCUAUCUGCAGUCUUGUCCUGGGGACACUCGGCCGGUCCUGCCUUACAGAUCUCCUUUCAGCAGAACAGCAAGGGACGGCGUUCAUCUGCAAUGUCCAGCUCCUCCCCCGGCCCUGCAGCUCCACGACCGCUCUCCUCACCCUGCUGCCCUGACCAGGGCCACGUGGGCCUCACUGAGCCCCGGCUAGCCUUUGGAGAGGAGGGCAGUGGGGUCCGGCCUCAGCUCUCUUCAGUGGUCUCUGGACCAUGUGGGCAAAGCCGAGGUUGCACAUCCUGGCCUCAGGGGGCAGAGUCACCCCAGGGGCUCAGCCACACAGUUGCUUUUCAAGUUUAGCAUCUGUCAAUCAAUCAGUCAAUCAAUCUACCACCUAUCUAUCUAUCAUCUAUCAAUCAUCUAUCUGUCAUCUAUCAAUUAAUCUAUCAAUCAUCAUUUAUUAAUCAUUUACCUAUUAUCUAUCAAUCAUCUGUCACCUGUUCAUCUAUUAUCUAUUAAUCAUCUACUUAUCUAUCUAUCUAUCGAGACAGGGUCUCACUCCGCCACCUAAGCUGGAGUGCGUGGUGAGGUCGCAGAUCACUGCAGCCUUGACUUUCUGGGCUCGAGCAAUCCUUCCUCCUCAGCCGCCUGAGUAGCUGGGACUACAGGCACACACCACCAGGCCCGGCUAAUUUUAAAAAAUUUUU
rnacentral:lncRNA from 10 species